rnacentral:rRNA from 1 species
UGGGGAAUUUUGGACAAUGGGCGCAANCCUGAUCCAGCCAUGCCGCGUGCGGGAAGAAGGCCUUCGGGUUGUAAACCGCUUUUGUCAGGGAAGAAAUCUUCUGAGUUAAUACCUCGGGAGGAUGACGGUACCUGAAGAAUAAGCACCGGCUAACUACGUGCCAGCAGCCGCGGUAAUACGUAGGGUGCAAGCGUUAAUCGGAAUUACUGGGCGUAAAGCGUGCGCAGGCGGUUUUGUAAGACAGAGGUGAAAUCCCCGGGCUCAACCUGGGAACUGCCUUUGUGACUGCAAGGCUUGAGUGCGGCAGAGGGGGGAUGGAAUUCCGCGUGUAGCAGUGAAAUGCGUAGAUAUGCGGAGGAACACCGAUGGCGAAGGCAAUCCCCCUGGGCCUGCACUGACGCUCAUGCACGAAAGCGUGGGGAGC